rnacentral:rRNA from 1 species
AUUAGAUAAAAAACCAACGCCCUUCGGGGCUUCUUGGUGAUUCAUGAUAACUUUACGGAUCGCAUGGCCUUGCGCCGGCGACGGUUCAUUCAAAUUUCUGCCCUAUCAACUUUCGAUGGUAAGGUAUUGGCUUACCAUGGUUUCAACGGGUAACGGGGAAUUAGGGUUCGAUUCCGGAGAGGGAGCCUGAGAAACGGCUACCACAUCCAAGGAAGGCAGCAGGCGCGCAAAUUACCCAAUCCCGACACGGGGAGGUAGUGACAAUAAAUACUGAUACAGGGCUCUUUUGGGUCUUGUAAUUGGAAUGAGUACAAUUUAAACCUCUUAACGAGGAACAAUUGGAGGGCAAGUCUGGUGCCAGCAGCCGCGGUAAUUCCAGCUCCAAUAGCGUAUAUUAAAGUUGUUGCAGUUAAAAAGCUCGUAGUUGAACCUUGGGCCUGGCUGGCAGGUCCGCCUCACCGCGUGUACUCGUCCGGCCGGGCCUUCCUUCUGGAGAACCUCAUGCCCUUCACUGGG